GCUGGGUGUGGUGGUGCAUGCCUGUAAUCCCAGUGGCUCAGGAGGCUGAGGCAGGAGAAACUUGAGUUCAAACCCAGCCUCAGCAACUUAGCAAGACCCUAAGCAACUUAGUGGGACCUUGUCUCUA
rnacentral:sRNA from 1 species